CCCGACUGGUCAGUUUUUGUAAACAAACGACGUAAAGUCGAGGGAACUCUGCCGUUCUCAUUCACGACUGGGGGUAGUGUUUACCAAUACCAGUUCCUCUCGAUGCCGGAGGGCAGUCAGUGUGUGGAGGAAAACGAAGCUGUCAACAUCCAAUCACGUACAUCUCUACUACUGAGACAGUUGACGUGGGAACAGACACAAACCAACUCAUUUCGUGUCGGAGUAAGUCCUGUCAGUGUGUGACACCCUCCUUGAUGUCGACUGGUACCCAGAAGAGCAUGAACACAUCUUGGUGCACAAUUGCUGUCCAGUGUACACCAGAUACAUGCGACUGUGCUACACAAUAUGAGGCACCAGGUGAUGCUGACAGCAAGAACAAUAUGCCUGACACAACUGAUGAUGGAAAUGACACUGAUGAAGAUUACAAUCCACAUUCAAGUCAGAUCAAGUUCGAGGAAUUU